GAAGUAUGUUGUUCAAGUAAAAGCUGCUAACUUUUUUCUUUUAAUGGUUAAACUCCAUUUAUACUUCU
rnacentral:tRNA from 1 species